rnacentral:rRNA from 1 species
GACAGAGGUCCCAAGCGUUAGGCGGAAUCACUGGGCUUAAAGCGUGUGUAGGCGGAUGUCUAAGUACCUUGUGAAAUCCCACGGCUCAACCGUGGAACUGCUUGGUAUACUGGAUGUCUUGAGCCAUCUAGGGGCUACUGGAACAAAUGGUGGAGCGGUGAAAUGCGUAGAUAUCGUCAGGAACGCCAAUGGUGAAGACAGGUGACUGGGCCGGUUCUGACACUGAGGCACGAAAGCGUGGGGAGCGAACGGGG